AUACGGAGGGUGCAAGCGUUAUCCGGAUUCAUUGGGUUUAAAGGGUACGUAGGCGGAUAGAUAAGUUAGUGGUGAAAUCCCGAAGCUCAACUUCGGAACUGCCAUUAAAACUGUCUAUCUAGAAUUUGGUUGAAGUGGGCGGAAUAUGACAUGUAGCGGUGAAAUGCAUAGAUAUGUCAUGGAACACCGAUAGUGAAGACAGCUCACUAAGCCAAUAUUGACGCUGAGGUACGAAAGCAUGGGUAGCGAACAGGAUUAGAAACCCCAGUAGUCC
rnacentral:rRNA from 1 species